CCGGAAGAACGCGAUCAUUCUCAGGACCCAGCUGUCCGUGAGGGUUCACACCAUCAUAGAAAAAUUGCUGAACAGCGAAGGCCGUGAGCUGCGACGGGCCCUCUUCUCCCUCAAGCAGAUCUUUCAGGAGGACAAGGACCUGGUGCACGAGUUCGUGCAAAAUGACGGACUCGCCUGUCUCAUCAAAGUCAGCAGCGAAGCCGACCAGAACUACCAAAAUUACAUAUUACGAGCACUCGGCCAGGUGAUGCUGUACGUCGACGGCAUGAACGGGGUGAUGGAACACGGGCAGACGGUGGAAUGGCUGUAUACGUUAAUUGCCAGCCGUUUUCGGCUGGUGGUGAAGACGGCGCUGAAGCUGUUGCUCGUGUUCGUGGAAUACGUAGAAACAAACAGUCUGCUGCUGGUCAGAGCUGUGAGGGCGGUGGAUACCGCCCGCGGCAUGAUACCGUGGAUUAACGUGAUGAAGCUUCUGAAGGAUUACGACGCCGCCGACACCGAGUUGCUCAUCUACGCGACCACGUUGGUCAACAAGUGCCUGAACGGCAUCCCCGAUCAGGACACCUACUACGAUCAGGUGGACUGCCUCGAGGAGCAGGGUAUGGAGGGUGUUAUCCAGAGGUACAUGUCGAAGCAGGGUACGGAUCUCGACCUGCUCAGGCAGUUUCAGAUCUACGAGGCGGUGCUGCAUCACGAGGACGGCGACAGGGGUUCGCCUAUUCGCCAGCUGGACGACAAUAUCAGGAAGACCUUGCGGAACCGGAAGUCCCUGGUGGAUUCUCACGAGCGACGAAAGUCUCGGAGGCACUCGACGGGCACCUCGCCCCUUUCGAUGUCUCUGAACGCGCGCCUGAGUCCACGGCUAAAUCAUACUCUAGGCGUAAGCUCGCUGAACAGCACCUUGAACUCAAGCCUGCCAGACGACGACGACGGAUCGAGUAGCUCUCAGAGCUCUCAAGGUCAUCUGGGUGAGGUUCAGCUUAAUGGCAGUUACAAGGAGAACAAAGUGGAUGUUGGUGUGACACCGGCGCUGAGACGGCGACGAGAGCGCGCGGAGAGACAGAGGAGCUUCAUUAGAGAGCAACAAGAGGCUACCGCAAACAUGAGGGCUUCGAUCGGUCACAGCGACGAUCAGGAAAGUCAGUUUGCGUCGAACAGUCUGCGAUACACGAACGGCAGCCCUUACGAGAGGAACGCCGAUUCUCCCUCAAACAAGUUGUCCAGAACGAACAGCAGGAAGGACUUGACGCCCUUGAUGAAUGCCGCGAACAAGCUCGACUCGGAGGAGAAGAAGCCGUGGUAUGGCAAAAGUCCCAACGAAGGUGUCGAGUAUGGCGAGAGUAAUCACACCGACGAAGACGAGGAUCGUCGAGUGCUGCUACAGCCUAAAAGGGAGGGCACCGUCAAGGAUCUCACGCAGAAGUUGGCGGCACAGAAUCUUAUACCAAGCAGUCCCGUGGAGGAGAAAGUUUCCAGGAUAGGCGACAUCAGCGGGCUGAUCUCGAAGGCAAAAGAGGGCUUGGCCAAGUCCAAGUCGAAGGCGGAUGUGCUAAAGUCACCCACCGGCGACAAUCUGCCGAAGCUACAGGAGACGAAGAAGUCCGAGAACGAGCUACACUGGGAAGAACUGGUGAAGAAGCUGAAGCGGCCGCUCGCGCUCUGCGACCUCGACUUCACCGACUUGAACUCCGAGGACGAGAUCGACGUGUUGGGCUCGGCCAACGUUGCGAACGGCGUGCCGCCGCCGCCGCCACCGAUGGCGCCUUCGUGCGGGGACGCGAGAGCACCUCCACCGCCGCCAUUGGGCGCGAGAUUGCCGCCGCCGCUUCCUCAAGGUCCGCCGCCACCGCAGCCCUUCGGCGUCAACCUCAAGACGUCGAGGCCGCCGUUGGCCAACGAGAUCGGCGGCGGCGGCAGCAGCAGCAGCUGCGCGCCCAAGAGCCCGCCGUCGCUGAUCGCCAAGAAGAGCAAAAAGACGGUGAAGCUGUUCUGGAAGGAGGUGCGGGACGACCUCAACAUUCUCGCGCGGCUCAACAAACACAAGAUGAUCUGGGACGAGCUGGCACCCGUGGCGGUCGACACGCAGAAGCUCGAGCACCUCUUCGAAAGCCGCGCCAAGGAUCUCAUCACCAAGCAGAAGCAGCAGGAGAUGAAUAAGAACAAGGAGAUCAUCGUGCUGAAUCACAAGAGGUCGAACGCCAUCAACAUCGGCAUGACGAAACUACCGCCGCCGAGAUCCAUCAAAACCGCGAUCCUGAAGAUGGACGCCACCAUCAUGAACAGAGAAGGUAUCGAGAAACUCCUGACGAUGCUGCCCACCAAGGAGGAAAAAUCCAGGAUACAAGAGGCACAGGCCGCCAAUCCCGAUCUUCCUUUAGGAUCGGCCGAACAAUUCCUCCUGACUUUGACCUCCAUCUCGGAAUUGCCGGCGAGGCUGAAGCUGUGGGCAUUCAAGCUGGAUUUUGAAAACUCCGAAAAGGAAAUCGCGGACCCUUUGAUGGAUCUGAAGCAGGGCAUGGAGACGCUGCGAGUGAAUAAAACGUUCCGCGGGAUUCUGAGCACGCUCCUUUCGAUCGGGAUAUUCCUCAACGGAAAUGAGGUGAAGGGCUUUCAGCUGGAAUACCUCGUCAAAGUACCUGAAGUGAAGGAUACGGUUCACAAGCACUCGCUGCUUCAUCACCUCUGCCAUAUGGUGAUGGAGAAGUUCCCAGAUUCGACGGAUCUCUAUUCCGAGAUCGGCGCGGUAACGAGAGCUUCGAAAAUCGAUUUCGACGAGCUGGCGGCGAACAUCGCGAAACUCGAGAGCGAGUGCAAAGCGUCUUGGGACCAUCUCAAGCUCAUUGCAAAGCACGAUGGUUCGACGAUGAUGAAGGUCAAAAUGUCCGACUUUCUCGCCGACUGCGCCGAAAGGAUAAUCGUCCUGGGCAUCGUGCACCGACGUAUCAUAAAUCGUUUCCGCAAAUUCAUCUUGUGGCUCGGCAUACCGCUGCAUAGGGUACAAGACACGAAACCCAACGAGUUUUGCAGGAUCGUGUCCGAAUUCGCUCUGGAGUACAGGACCACCAGGGAACGAGUGAUACAGCAGCUCGAGAAGAAAGCCAAUCAUCGGGAGCGCAAUAAGACCAGGGGGAAGAUGAUAACGGAGGUCGGCAAGUUCCGCACAAAGGAGGACCGAGCGGACGCGGAACUCAGGCAACUACUUGGCAGUGACAUUUCAGACGUCGAAAGUAUUCACGGCACAUUACCAUGGCGAAGACAGAGGAAGGACGGACGUAUAAUCACACUGGGUCCGGUGCUCAGAGACGAGAGCACUAACGGCAACUUGGCCGACGGCGUGGACGAGCUGCUGGAGUCUCUGGUGAAAACCGCGACGAAGGCACCGGCCACCAGAACGACGCCACGCGAGCGCAAGAGGACCAGACACGCCGAUCGUAAGUCUUAAAUUAUAGAUUCAAGACAGAUGAGAAAAAGAGAAGAUGUUGUGAGUUCCACCGCCAUUAUAUCCUGCGUCCUGUAAUCCGUCCUGGAGUUAACUUUCCGUCGUAAUCAUGGCCAGACAUUCGAUGGUCCCUCAGGAAGAUACGAAUCGAUCGGAAACAUGGCGUUAAUUAAUAAUCACGCGUUAACCGAUCAUGAUUGGCGAAUGCUACGCGCGAAACUUGCAAUACGUACCAUCCUAAUAAGUUAGAAAACCGUUUAGAAGCUUCAGUGUAUUUUGAUUUUAUACGUUAUGUAUAGUUGGCGAAUGAUGGGGACGUUUUUGUCCUUUCACAGGCGAUUAUUUGGAACUCUCGCGCGUCUCUCACCUCUCCGUGAUCGCGUCAUUUCGUCUCGGAUCGUUAAGCGACGAGUAUACCGCGACGCGUGUCGGUGAGUUAUUGUUUACAUUUUCCAUCGGAUGCUUCAGACAUUUCGUUGACUCUUGAAACGUUCAGUCGGUAUCGCGUUAAUUAACCAGUGUCCCUCCGAUCGAAUCGUAUACACGCGAGUGUCAGUGCCAGGUGCAAAUGUCCGGUAUACCACAAUGGUGCAGCUUGUGGAGCUAGGAUGUUGAGUUGGAAAGCCAGGACGAAGGACGCAGGAUGCUGGGAAGCAGGCGGCGAUACGUCAUACAUCUUCAGUGCGUAGAACGCUGAAGAAUGGGCUCUCGGAAGAGGAGAAGAAGCACAUCGCCGCCUACAUCAAGGGCUACUGACUGUGAUAAUACUCGAAGGACACGAAGACAUGCCCUCGACGAGACACGAGACGGAACGGGACUGACGGAGCGACGGGAGGAGCCGGGGCACGUCGAUAUUCGGGCGCGCAAAGGAGGCGAGAGAAAACGCGGCGGAAACUCGGCCAAGACACAUCCCCGCCGAGAUCUCGGGAACAUAGGAGUUCUCGUCUCUCCACCGCCAUCAUCACGGGAUGCUCCGGGAUGGUCGAACGACACGCGUGGUCGAUCGACUCCGCGCGACACGUCGUCUCCGACGUCCGCGUGAAGCGUCUCGCGUACGCUCGUUCGAUUCUUCUCAUCAAGAUAGGAUAACAGGUGUAUCCGACGAAGGGAGAAAAGAGACGAGAGGAAAGAGGAGGAGGAAAUAAUGAAAAGAAGCACGUCUGGUCGCGAAGGUUCGAAGACGAGUAUCGAUCGACGAUUUAGAUUUAAGCGAACGAUCAAGCAGAUCGGCGUUUCCUCUUUCUCUCUCUCUUUCUUCUCUCGAAAAUAUCGCGCGCGUUGUAGAGAGUCUAUCCCGCUAGGAAUUUUCCUCCGCUUUGUAGAAGCGUUCUCGUUCUUCGCAGACGUCUCUCCGUCUCUCUGUCACGUGGAAAUUCUCCGGUUUCGCUAAAAUUUCUUUAUCUCGCGCGGAGAAUCUCGCGGGAGAUUCGCGCCCGGCGCGGUUUCCGCAGGGCUUCCUUCCCCUUUCCUUCGGAAGAUUUAGGUGCGUGUCCGCGCGCGCACACGCGUUAUUUGCGUUAUCGUAUAUGUAUGUUUAACGUAUUGUGUACUCGGUACUUCUCGGAAGAUUCACCCGAGCCUCGGACGACAUGGGGUCGACACUCUCGACUAAUAAUCGUACGUAAUCACACCAACACGUGCCUCGACGAAUUUUCUAUGAUCGAUCGAAUAUAUCUAAGAGCGAACGACGCUUUUACUCGCAACACGCGAUCCGUUAUAAUGAUAACGAAGAGACAGCUGUUUCUUUUACUAUUACUUUCUUUCUGUUUUUCUUUUCUUUUGCGUACGAAGUAACCAUACUGCGGAACGAUUUCUGUCGAAUACAGCGAACGCAUCGAUGGCACGCCGCGUUGGCGUGACUCGCCCCUGCGGGGGAAGCACACAACUUAAUUACCUUAAUCAUCAUUUUACUAUUGCGUCCCGUACGGCCGCAUAAUCGCAUUCAUUGUAACUUUCUGUGGAAAUGAUUCUUCAAAUAAAGCGAGAAGCAGUUCUA